ACGACCUUACUUGAACAGGAUCUGUUCUAUAGUAUUCGUACCUCUGUAUCUUUGAGUUCUAAAGAGACAGAAAACCAAGUCUGGUGGAUGAAUCAUGACCGUGCGAUCUGAGCGUGAUUAACGGUUACCAUUGAUCCCUACUGGUCUCUGGUGCCUGUAGAUGAUCGUUUCUCAGUGCACUUUGUGAGCUUGAGGAAGAUCGCACGGUUGUCUGACAGACU